rnacentral:rRNA from 1 species
UAGGUUGUUAAGUAGGCAAAUCCGCUUAACGUUAGACCGAGAUCUUACAGGCUCUUGACACUCUUCGGAGGAGAUGGAGAAUCGAUGAUACUGUCGUGCCAAGAAAAGCCACUAAGUUUAUUAUAUGUUGCCCGUACCGUAAACCGACACAGGUGGGUGGGAUGAGUAUUCUAAGGCGCGUGGAAGAACCCUCUUUAAGGAACUCUGCAAAAUAGCACCGUAUCUUCGGUAUAAGGUGUGCCUACUUUGGUAUAUGAACUUGCUUCAAAAAGCUAGAGAGGUUGCAACAAAGAGUCCCUCCCGACUGUUUACCAAAAACACAGCACUUUGCUAACACGUAAGUGGAUGUAUAAGGUGUGACGCCUGCCCGGUGCUCGAAGGUUAAUUGAUGAUGUCAGCGCAAGCGAAGCAUUUGAUCGAAGCCCGAGUAAACGGCGGCCGUAACUAUAACGGUCCUAAGGUAGCGAAAUUCCUUGUCAGUUAAAUACUGACCUGCAUGAAUGGCGUAACGAGAUGGGAGCUGUCUCAAAGAGGGAUCCAGUGAAAUUGUAGUGGAGGUGAAAAUUCCUCCUACCCGCGGAAAGACGGAAAGACCCCGUGCACCUUUACUACAGCUUGACACUGUAGCUUGAUAUUCUUGUGCAGGAUAGGUGGGAGGCUAUGAUGACUAGACGCAAGUAGAGUCGGAGCCAUCCUUGAGAUACCACCCUUGAAUAUUUGAGUUACUAACUGCGAUGAGUUAUCCUCAUUCAGGACAAUGUCUGGUGGGUAGUUUGACUGGGGCGGUCGCCUCCUAAAUAGUAACGGAGGCUUACAAAGGUUAGUUCAAAGCGGUUGGAAAUCGCUUGUUGAGUAUAAUGGCAUAAACUAGCUUGACUGUGAGACCUACAAGUCGAACAGAGACGAAAGUCGGUCAUAGUGAUCCGGUGGUUCUGCGUGGAAGGGCCAUCGCUCAAAGGAUAAAAGGUACGCCGGGGAUAACAGGCUGAUCUCCCCCAAGAGCUCACAUCGACGGGGAGGUUUGGCACCUCGAUGUCGGCUCAUCGCAUCCUGGGGCUGUAGUCGGUCCCAAGGGUAUGGCUGUUCGCCAUUUAAAGCGGUACGCGAGCUGGGUUCAGAACGUCGUGAGACAGUUCGGUCCCUAUCUUCCGUGGGCGUAGGAAAGUUGAAGAGAUUUGUCCCUAGUACGAGAGGACCGGGAUGAACCAACCACUGGUGUACCAAUUGUUCUGCCAAGAGCAUCGUUGGGUAGCCACGUUGGGAUGUGAUAAGAGCUGAAAGCAUCUAAGCUCGAAGCCAACUCUAAGAUGAACUUUCCCUGAAGUUCCCAGCAAGACUAGCUGGUUGAUAGGCUGGAUGUGUAAUGGGUGUAAGCCCUUUAGCUGACCAGUACUAAUAGAACGUUUGGC